rnacentral:lncRNA from 1 species
UUUGUGAAGGGACGUAGAUAACUAUGGGAGUUUUCAUUUGUUUUAUAGAAAGUGGGUUAGUGUGUUGGUAAUUUGGGGUUCGUAAUGCUAAGAUCAUGUUAAUAAUUAAAGAGUUUUAAGUAGAUCAUGCAAUGUAUGUGUCAGUGUGUCUGAGUGGGCGCACGGAAAAGGAAUUAUAUGAUUGAGCUGGAUUUAGCUUCUUUUUUUUUUUUAUAGUUAUUAUAUGUUUUUGCUUUUCGUGGCGUCUAGUUUUUAAGCAAAAGCAUGAGAUAUUAUAUUUUAUAAAAUUUUAUAUAAAAUACUUCUUUUUAAUAAUAAAAUCUUUAACCAACUAUGCUAUAUAAAACCAAUGAAUUGUAUUUCAUUUUAAUUCAUCUUAUCUC